CAGUCGCCACGGUAAUGCGAAGGGGGCUAGCGUUGCUCGGAAUGACUGGGCGUAAAGGGCGCGUAGGCGGCGAUCAAAGUCAGGCGUGAAAUUCCUGGGCUCAACCUGGGGGCUGCGCUUGAUACUUGGUUGCUUGAGUGGGGAAGAGGGUCGUGGAAUUCCCAGUGUAGAGGUGAAAUUCGUAGAUAUUGGGAGGAACACCAGUGGCGAAGGCGGCUUUCUGGACUGCAACUGACGCUGAGGCUCGAAAGCCAGGGGAGCGAACGGGAUUAGAUACCCCAGUAGUCCCUGUCUCUUAUAC
rnacentral:rRNA from 1 species